AGCCAUAUCACCGAACAGCCCCAGACUGGUUACUCACUGAAGCUAAGCAGGGCUGAGCCUGGUCAGUACCUGGAUGGGAGACCACUGAAUGGGAGACCACUUGGGAAAACUAGGUUGCU
rnacentral:rRNA from 1 species